rnacentral:tRNA from 1 species
GCUUGCCGCCGGCUGGCCGCGGCGGCCGGCUUCGGUUCGACCGGAGCCGUGGCCGUGGCCGCCGGACGCGGCGCCGGUCGACGCGGCGGACGGGCA